GGCUUAACCAUAGAACUGCUUGGGAAACUGAUAAUCUAGAGUGAGGGAGAGGCAGAUGGAAUUGGUGGUGUAGGGGUAAAAUCCGUAGAGAUCACCAGGAAUACCCAUUGCGAAGGCGAUCUGCUGGAACUCAACUGACGCUAAUGCGUGAAAGCGUGGGGAGCAAACAGGAUUAGAUACCCUGGUAGUCCACGCCCUAAACGAUGUAUACUAGUUGUUGCUAAGCUAGUCUUGGCAGUAAUGCACCUAACGGAUUAAGUAUACCGCCUGGGGAGUACGGUCGCAAGAUUAAAACUCAAAGGAAUAGACGGGGACCCGCACAAGCGGUGGAGCAUGUGGUUUAAUUCGAAGAUACGCGAAGAACCUUACCCGGACUUGAUAUCUAACAAAUCAUCUAGAGAUAGAAGAGUGUCUGCUUGCAGAAAUGUUAAGACAGGUGCUGCACGGCUGUCGUCAGCUCGUGUCGUGAGAUGUUGGGUUAAGUCCCGCAACGAGCGCAACCCACGUCAUUAGUUGCUAACAGUUCGGCUGAGCACUCUAAUGAGACUGCCUUCGUAAGGAGGAGGAAGGUGUGGACGACGUCAAGUCAUCAUGGCCCUUAUGUCCGGGGCGACACACGUGCUACAAUG
rnacentral:rRNA from 1 species